rnacentral:tRNA from 1 species
GGUGAUGAAGCCCAUCUGGUAGGGCACCUGACUGUAAAUCAGACGCGGUAACGCAUUGCAGGUUCAAAUCCUGUCAUCACCAC